UCCGGUGGUUAUGACGGAGAGGCUCCACCUGUUCCCAUCCCGAACACAGCAGUUAAGCUCUCCAGUGCUGAAAGUACUUGGCUGGACACGGCCCGGGAGGAUAAGUCGCUGCCGGAUU
rnacentral:rRNA from 1 species